UGAAUACGAGACGCUAAGGCGUCGAAGUAGUGUAUGUCAUACUUCCAAGAAAAGCUUGCACUGUCAUAAGUAAAAAAUGCCUGUACCAUAACCGACACAGGUGGGUAGGUAGAGUAUACUAAGGGGCGCGAGAUAACUCUCUCUAAGGAACUCGGCAAAAUAACUCCGUAACUUCGGGAGAAGGAGUACCUUAUUCUAUAAGGUUGCAAUAACAAGAUCCAAGCAACUGUUUAUCAAAAACACAGGUCUCCGCUAAGUCGUAAGACGAUGUAUGGGGGCUGACGCCUGCCCAGUGCCAGAAGGUUAAAGAAGUCGGUUAGCAUUAGCGAAGCUGGUAACUGAAGCCCUGGUGAACGGCGGCCGUAACUAUAACGGUCCUAAGGUAGCGAAAUUCCUUGUCGGGUAAGUUCCGACCCGCACGAAAGGCGUAAUGAUUUGGAUACUGUCUCGGAGAGGGGCUCGGUGAAAUAGACUUGUCUGUGAAGAUGCGGACUACCUGCACCAGGACAGAAAGACCCUAUGAAGCUUUACUGUAACUUGAAAUUGAAAUUGGACUUUAUUCGCGCAGUAUAGGUGGGAGGUGUUGAUUAUAAUCUUGCGGGAUUAUUGGAGCCAUCAGUGAGAUACCACUCUUGUAAUGUUAGAUUUCUAACUUUGAAUCAUUAUCUGGUCAAAGGACAGUUUCAGGCGGGCAGUUUGACUGGGGCGGUCGCCUCCCAAACGGUAACGGAGGCGUACAAAGGUUUCCUCUGAACGGGUAGAAAUCGUAUCUAGAGUGUAAAGGCAUAAGGAAGCUUGACUGUGAGACCUACAAGUCGAACAGGGACGAAAGUCGGUCUUAGUGAUCUGACGGUACUGAGUGGAAAGGCCGUCACUCAACGGAUAAAAGUUACUCUAGGAUAACAGGCUGAUCUCCCCCAAGAGUUCACAUCGACGGGGAGGUUUGGCACCUCGAUGUCGGCUCAUCGCAUCCUGGGGCGGUAGUACGUCCCAAGGGUUGGGCUGUUCGCCCAUGAAAGCGGUACGCGAGCUGGGUUCAGAACGUCGUGAGACAGUUCGGUCCAUAUCCGGUGUAGGCGUUAGAAUAUUGAGAGGAGCCUUCUUUAGUACGAGAGGACCGAGAAGGACAUACCUCUGGUGUACCAGUUAUCGUGCCAACGGUAAACGCUGGGUAGCUAUGUAUGGAGUGGAUAACCGCUGAAAGCAUCUAAGUGGGAAGCCCACCUCAAGAUAAGUAUUCUCAUC
rnacentral:rRNA from 1 species